UGGGCAACCUGCCCUCAGCUCUGGGAUAACUCCGGGAAACCGGGGCUAAUACCGGAUACGACCUUCCCUGGCAUCGGGGUUGGUGGAAAGUUCUUCGGCUGAGGAUGGGCCCGCGGCCUAUCAGCUUGUUGGUGGGGUAACGGCCUACCAAGGCGACGACGGGUAGCCGGCCUGAGAGGGCGACCGGCCACACUGGGACUGAGACACGGCCCAGACUCCUACGGGAGGCA
rnacentral:rRNA from 1 species